ensembl:lncRNA
CAGCUCUGCUCUUUGUCUGAGCAGAAGAGAUAAGAACCAAGCGGCUAGCUGACCUCACCGGCUUCCUGCGGGGUGGGCGUGCACGCUCACUUCCACCCCCCCUGCCGGAGCAAGCAGGGGUCCAGCUGGUGGUGGGCUCCCCUCCUCCGGAGAUGCCCACGUGGUGUCUGUCCCCAGGGAGCACAGGGCCACUCUAGGCUCCCCCGCAGCACUGCGACAGGAGGCUGUUACUGUGGCUGACCACUGCUUUCACAUAGUCGCGAGGUCCUGGCUGACCUGUUACUCUCCAAAACCAGCACUGUUCUCAGAAAGUAGAGACAGCUCCAAUGUAGAGUGGCCACUGGCUACCUACCUCUUUGGCUCCCUUGAAAAUCACGGAAAUCAAAUCAAACAGAAAAGAGUGUCCAUUCACCAGAAGGACUUGGGUAAAUGAUGCACCAUUGUUUGCUUUUUAUACAGAAAUAAUACGGAAAGAGGUCACUGGAUGAAUCUGUAAAUUGAAACAAGGACACGCUUCCUUUCAAUUUGUUAAAGCCCCUGCAUAUCUGAUAGUUCAAACUGAAGUAAUACAGAUCAUUAAUGAUGGAUUUUCCUCCUAUCUAAAUAGAAAAGGUAUUAUAUGUUAUAUCAAUGCUCAAGUUAAAUCUUUCCCUUAUAAGGUGCUUGACAUAAAUAGCUUUUAUUAUGGAACUCUUAAGUAGAGGGGACACACACAUUUCUUAAAGGUCCCAGCUGCUAUUGUUAUCCUUGGAGACAUAAAAUUGGAGUCCCCAACUUCCAAUAUCAAAUUUUAGCCCAAACCCUAUAAAACGUGUCUUGUCAGGAUGUGCCGGAAGGGAUAAGCUCCCCUCCACACAACAUGCCGCAGCUGGUGCUCUGUCCUGACCGGCAGGGUGUCCACACGCGGCGUAGGCAGAGUCCUUCCCGCUUCCCCUCUUCCUGCGGAGCUGGAGGGAAGGAGCGGCCGGCCGUGGCCUAGGCCACUGGACAGGGAACACGGCCUGCGGGCCGAGUCCAAGGCCUGCAGAUAGGACCCUCCGUCAGGAAUGCAAAGAAUGUUUUCCCUCGGACGAUGGAGGCGCACAGGCCAGGGGGAUUCUGUCUGCGUGACAGCCGUGACAUUUGCCAGAGCCCCGGACGGCUGUGGAAAUGGCAUUGCCCACCCUGAAAGUGAGAAGUGACAGAAGCAGCUGGAGAGAAGAUACCAGUAUAAAACCCGCCCAGACUCGUUUCUGUGGAGCCGGGAUGGGAACCGCGGCAUAGAGCCCUAUACACUCUUUCUGCACACAUUAACCUGUGCCAGCCCCCCGCCCCCGGCUGGGGUUUCAGGGACCCCAGUGAGGAGAGUCCAGUGACCCAGACAGUCACAGUAUCACCUGUGCUGAGCCUCGAGCGAAAACGAUGCAGGCAGACAGACGAGACGAUGGGCCUUGUAAACACCGGAGCUUUGCGGGCCCUUCUGCCGUCCAGCUUGGUGUGGACCAGAGCCGCAUGGAGCCCAGUCAGCCCCCGCCUCUGGCACUGGCCGGCACGGGGAAAGUAACCCAGAAAAAACAUUCUUCAGCCCGAAAUGAAGCAGGAUCGAAUGGACGCUGAUGACUCAGCACCCAGACCCGGCAGAGAACACCCCCCCCACAGGCUCACUCUGACGCAGGGCCCGAAGCCAGUGGCUCUCCCCGGGGGACCUGCCUGGGAGCUGUGUCCCUCUCUCCCGCACGCAGGCACACACACGGAUUACAAGAUGUGAGCUUCCCAGCCAGGAUGCUUCUGAGUAGUAGGCUGACUGGCCCCUUCCGGAUGGGCCACCCCACAGCCCCAAGGCUUGGUGGCCCAAGGCUGAGCCCAGGGAGCAGCCACACUGACCUCUGUGCAGUGCCCUUUAGGGGCCAGGUGUGGCCCAGGUGUACCUGCAACUCCAUGGGGUGGCCCCAUCCUGGCAGAGAGCUCUUAGCCCUGUGAGUGCCGCCCAGGGCACAGGUUCCCUCAGGAAAGACGGGAGGAGGAUGCCUGGGGCACAGCACCAGGCACGGAGCUCCCGUGCUUGGCCCCCUGGUCCCUCUGCCUGGCAGGUGAGUCUGCCCAUCCACAUCCACGGGAGCCAGAACUCUCGUGAGGUGCUCGUUGGGCAGGAGGCCUCUGCACUGACCAUGCUGCAGACAGAUGCUUUCGAAGCUGGUGGGAGCUGCAGCUGGGGGCCCAGAGCUGCUGCAAUCAAUCAGCAGCCACCGAGGAGCCUUCGAGCCACUCCCUGCCCUGGCUGCGCAACCUUACACCUCUGGCAUCAAAGGAUGGGCUGAGGCCGGAAGGAGGCUGUAUCUGUGUAUCUGCAGGACCAGGGAGCAGCCUGCCUGGGACUCAGGGUGGGG